GCGGGUAUAGUUUAGUGGUAAAACGUCUGCUUCCCAAGCAGUAGUUGUGAGUUCGAUUCUCAUUACCCGCUCCA
rnacentral:tRNA from 1 species